UCCAGGGUAGCCUAGUGGACAUGGCAUCUGCCCGGUAAGCGGAACGUUGUGGGUUCGAUUCCCAUCCCUGGAA
rnacentral:tRNA from 1 species